rnacentral:lncRNA from 1 species
CCAAGCUAUAAGUUUUAUCAUUAUAAAUGGCUUCGCGCAAGACCGCAAGAUCUGGGGAGCUAAGGGACCCAUCCUUCCCACGGCCAAUCAAACAUUUUUCCACGAAUAAUGAGAAGUACCAGAGCACGGGAAAAUGUAUGCUAGCAGCUCUAGCGCAAGGCACUCCUCUCUCCUCUCCUAUAGCAAUAGUAUCUAUGAAAGCCUCCAAGUCCCGUGGAAAAGGUUCAUGAAUAUCCCCAACAAAAGGCAAUUUGCAAACAUUGCAAAAAUCUUGGAGUGACAUGCGCUGGGGGAUAUCAUAUAAUUUGAACUCAGCCAUAGG